AUUGAACGCUGGCGGCAUGCCUUACACAUGCAAGUCGAACGGCAGCACGGGAGCAAUCCUGGUGGCGAGUGGCGAACGGGUGAGUAAUAUAUCGGAACGUGCCCAGUCGUGGGGAGUAACGUAGCGAAAGCUACGCUAAUACCGCAUACGAUCUAUGGAUGAAAGCGGGGGAUCGCAAGACCUCGCGCGAUUGGAGCGGCCGAUAUCAGAUUAGGUAGUUGGUGAGGUAAAGGCUCACCAAGCCGACGAUCUGUAGCUGGUCUGAGAGGACGACCAGCCACACUGGGACUGAGACACGGCCCAGACUCCUACGGGAGGCAGCAGUGGGGAAUUUUGGACAAUGGGCGCAAGCCUGAUCCAGCAAUGCCGCGUGCAGGAUGAAGGCCU
rnacentral:rRNA from 1 species